rnacentral:rRNA from 1 species
GCGCGAAAACUCUCCAAUGUGCGAAAGCGUGAGAGGGGAACUCCCAGUGCUAUAGGUUUAGCCUAUGGCUUUUGCCAAAUGUAAAUAGUUUGGCGAAUAAGUGGUGGGCAAGACUGGUGCCAGCCGCCGCGGUAACACCAGCGCCACGAGUGGCUAUCACGAUUAUUGGGCCUAAAGCGUCCGUAGUCUGCUUUGUACAUCCUCUGUGAAAUCGCUGCGCUCAACGUAGCGGCAUGCGGGGGACACGGCA